GGGCUCGUGGUGUAGCGGUUAACAUGCCUGCCUGUCACGCAGGAGAUCGCCGGUUCGAUCCCGGUCGGGCCCGCCA
rnacentral:tRNA from 4 species